UUCCGUUGGUGAACCAGCGGAGGGAUCAUUACCGAGUUUACAACUCCCAAACCCCUGUGAACAUACCACUUGUUGCCUCGGCGGAUCAGCCCGCUCCCGGUAAAACGGGACGGCCCGCCAGAGGACCCCUAAACUCUGUUUCUAUAUGUAACUUCUGAGUAAAACCAUAAAUAAAUCAAAACUUUCAACAACGGAUCUCUUGGUUCUGGCAUCGAUGAAGAACGCAGCAAAAUGCGAUAAGUAAUGUGAAUUGCAGAAUUCAGUGAAUCAUCGAAUCUUUGAACGCACAUUGCGCCCGCCAGUAUUCUGGCGGGCAUGCCUGUUCGAGCGUCAUUUCAACCCUCAAGCACAGCUUGGUGUUGGGACUCGCGUUAAUUCGCGUUCCUCAAAUUGAUUGGCGGUCACGUCGAGCUUCCAUAGCGUAGUAGUAAAACCCUCGUUACUGGUAAUCGUCGCGGCCACGCCGUUAAACCCCAACUUCUGAAUGUUGACCUCGGAUCAGGUAGGAAUACCCGCUGAACUUAAGCAUAUCAAUAAGCGGAGGAA
rnacentral:rRNA from 2 species